UGCUUAACACAUGCAAGUCGACGGGAAUGUUUCGCUGAUGCGAUUUCGGUCAAAUCUUGAAGCAUUUAGUGGCGACGGGUGAGUACGCGUGAGGAACCUGGCCUUUCAGAGGGGGGACAACAGUUGGAAACGACUGCUAAUACCGCAUGAUACAUUUGGGUGGCAUCAUCUGAAUGUCAAAGAUUUAUCGCUGAAAGAUGGCCUCGCGUCUGAUUAGCUGGUUGGUGAGGUAACGGCCCACCAAGGCGACGAUCAGUAGCCGGACUGAGAGGUUGACCGGCCACAUUGGGACUGAGAUACGGCCCAGACUCCUACGGGAGGCAGCAGUGGGGAAUAUUGGGCAAUGGGCGCAAGCCUGACCCAGCAACGCCGCGUGAAGGAAGAAGGCUUUCGGGUUGUAAACUUCUUUUAAGAGGGAAGAGCAGAAGACUGUACCUCUAGAAUAAGCCACGGCUAACUACGUG
rnacentral:rRNA from 1 species